rnacentral:tRNA from 1 species
GCAUUGGUGGUUCAGUGGUAGAAUUCUUGCCUGCAACGUGGGAGAUCCAGGUGCGAUUCCCGGCUAAUGCA